rnacentral:rRNA from 1 species
AUGGAAUAUUUUAGGAUUUUAGGCACUGAAAUCACUGCAGGAGGGGCAAGCACCAGGCCACGAGAGUGGAGGGCGCGCCCACCUACCCUGGGCGCGCCCCCUGUCUCAUGGGCCCCUGGUGGCCCCCCUCCACUUAUGCCAGCACCCACACACUCCAUCUUCUUCCCAAAAAAUCCCCAUCCAGCUCAAGCACGAGUUCUAGCUCAUUUUGCUGCGAUUUUCGAUCUCCUUGCUCAAAGCUCCAUUCACAAAACUGCUUUGGGAGAUUGUUGCUUGGUAUGUGACUCCUCCAUUGGUCCAAUUAAUUUUUGUUCUAGUGUUUUAUUCAUUGCAAAUUUUUGCUGCAUAGGUGACCAUGUUCUUGAGCUUGCAUGUUAA